rnacentral:rRNA from 1 species
UACGUAGGGAGCAAGCGUUGUCCGGAAUCAUUGGGCGUAAAGCGCGUGUAGGCGGCUUGAUAAGUCUGCUCUGAAAGCCCGGGGCUCAACCCUGGGAGGCGGGUGGAUACUGUCGAGCUCGAGUCCGGAAGAGGCGAGUGGAAUUCCUGGUGUAGCGGUGAAAUGCGCAGAUAUCAGGAAGAACACCCGUGGCGAAGGCGGCUCUCUGGAACGCAACUGACGCUGAGACGCGAAAGCGUGGGGAGCAAACAGG